rnacentral:lncRNA from 1 species
AUGAGAACAAGAGUGGGGAGAGCACUAGGUUCAUAUAGGUGGUACACUCGACUCUAAGCUACAUGCUUGGAUACGUCUUUCAAUUGCUAGGGGUAGUCUUUUAUAAGAUGUUGGGUGCUUUCGUACUGAUAGAAGGCAUGAUUGAUACGCUGACAGAGUAGGUCCCUAUAUGAGUGAACACAAUGCUGAUAGGGUUGGUUAGGUCGGGCAGGCUGAGCUCUAGGUGGAAGCAAGGCAGGGAGAAGGGCAACUCUAGUUCAUUUAUCAAGGUGGCUACUUACUGUGUCAAACAAUCUCCUUCUAAAUUGUUAGGGUUGUUAUUGGGUAUGGACUGGGGCAAUACAUUGGUGUU